GGACUACACGGGUUUCUAAUCCUGUUUGCUCCCCACGCUUUCGCGCCUCAGCGUCAGUUACUGUCCAGAAAGCCGCCUUCGCCACUGGUGUUCCUCCUAAUAUCUACGCAUUUCACCGCUACACUAGGAAUUCCGCUUCCCUCUCCAGCACUCAAGAUACGCAGUUUCAGAUGCAGCGCCAGGGUUGAGCCCUGGAAUUUCACAUCUGACUUGCAUACCCGCCUACACGCCCUUUACACCCAGUAAUUCCGGACAACGCUCGCCACCUACGUAUUACCGCGGCUGCUGGCAC
rnacentral:rRNA from 1 species